rfam:Parcubacteria bacterium GW2011_GWA2_43_13 TV70_C0006, whole genome shotgun sequence.
AUACUAUAUUCUCGUAUUCCGUAGACCGUAAGGGCUCGCACAAAAAGAGCUUAAUAACCUAACCUUACCGAGGAGCGUUCAACCAUCUUUAGUGUUGGGCGAAAGGUCGACUAUGGAAUGCCAGAGUCGUUUUUUUGUUAAAAC